rnacentral:rRNA from 1 species
UACGUAGGGUGCGAGCGUUAAUCGGAAUUACUGGGCGUAAAGUGUGCGCAGGCGGCCGAGCAAGUCGAGUGUGAAAGCCCCGGGCUUAACCUGGGAAUGGCAUUUGGGACUGCAAGGCUUGAGUGCGGCAGAGGAGACUGGAAUUCCUGGUGUAGCAGUGAAAUGCGUAGAUAUCAGGAGGAAUACCGAUGGCGAAGGCAGGUCUCCGGGCUGACACUGACGCUCAUGCACGAAAGCGUGGGGAGCGAACAGG